rnacentral:rRNA from 1 species
AUUGAACGCUGGCGGCAUGCCCUACACAUGCAAGUCGAACGGUAACAGGUCUUCGGAUGCUGACGAGUGGCGAACGGGUGAGUAAUACAUCGGAACGUGCCCGAUCGUGGGGGAUAACGAAGCGAAAGCUUUGCUAAUACCGCAUAAGAUCUACGGAUGAAAGCAGGGGACCGCAAGGCCUUGCGCGAACGGAGCGGCCGAUGGCAGAUUAGGUAGUUGGUGGGAUAAAAGCUUACCAAGCCGACGAUCUGUAGCUGGUCUGAGAGGACGACCAGCCACACUGGGACUGAGACACGGCCCAGACUCCUACGGGAGGCAGCAGUGGGGAAUUUUGGACAAUGGGCGAAAGCCUGAUCCAGCCAUGCCGCGUGCAGGAUGAAGGCCUUCGGGUUGUAAACUGCUUUUGUACGGAACGAAAAGACUCUUUCUAAUAAAGAGGGUCCAUGACGGUACCGUAAGAAUAAGCGCCGGCUAACUACGUGCCAGCAGCCGCAGUAA